rnacentral:rRNA from 1 species
CAUGCAAGUCGAACGAGCGAGAGAGAGCUUGCUUUCUUGAGCGAGUGGCGAACGGGUGAGUAACGCGUGAGGAACCUGCCUCAAAGAGGGGGACAACAGUUGGAAACGACUGCUAAUACCGCAUAAGCCCACGACCCGGCAUCGGGUAGAGGGAAAAGGAGCAAUCCGCUUUGAGAUGGCCUCGCGUCCGAUUAGCUAGUUGGAGAGGUAACGGCCCACCAAGGCAACGAUCGGUAGCCGGACUGAGAGGUUGAACGGCCACAUUGGGACUGAGACACGGCCCAGACUCCUACGGGAGGCAGCAGUGGGGAAUAUUGCACAAUGGGGGAAACCCUGAUGCAGCGACGCCGCGUGGAGGAAGAAGGUCUUCGGAUUGUAAACUCCUGUUGUUGAGGAAGAUAAUGACGGUACUCAACAAGGAAGUGACGGCUAACUACGUGCCAGCAGCCGCGGUAAAACGUAGGUCACAAGCGUUGUCCGGAAUUACUGGGUGUAAAGGGAGCGCAGGCGGGAAGACAAGUUGGAAGUGAAAUCCAUGGGCCCAACCCAUGAACUGCUUUCAAAACUGUUUUUCUUGAGUAGUGCAGAGGUAGGCGGAAUUCCCGGUGUAGCGGUGGAAUGCGUAGAUAUCGGGAGGAACACCAGUGGCGAAGGCGGCCUACUGGGCACCAACUGACGCUGAGGCUCGAAAGUGUGGGUAGCAAACAGGAUUAGAUACCCUGGUAGUCCACACUGUAAACGAUGAUUACUAGGUGUUGGAGGAUUGACCCCUUCAGUGCCGCAGUUAACACAAUAAGUAAUCCACCUGGGGAGUACGACCGCAAGGUUGAAACUC